rnacentral:rRNA from 1 species
UACGUAGGGGGCAAGCGUUGUCCGGAUUUAUUGGGCGUAAAGAGCGUGUAGGCGGUUUGGUAGGUCCGUUGUGAAAACUCGAGGCUCAACCUCGAGACGCCGGCGGAAACCAUCAGGCUAGAGUCCGGAAGAGGAGAGUGGAAUUCCUGGUGUAGCGGUGAAAUGCGCAGAUAUCGGGAAGAACACCCGUGGCUAAGGCGGCUCUCUAGUACGGUACUGACGCUGAGACGCGAAAGCGUGGGGAGCGAACAGG